AUCUAGCCAUGCGAGUCAUUGUAGCAUACAAGGCAGACGGCUCAGUAACGCGUAGUCAACCUACCCUAUGGACGGGAAUAACCUCGGGAAACUGAGGAUAAUGCCCGAUAGAACAUUAUGCCUGGAAUGGUUUAUGUUCCAAAUGAUUUAUCGCCGUAGGAUGGGACUGCGGCCUAUCAGUUUGUUGGUGAGGUAAUGGCCCACCAAGACUAUUACAGGUACGGGCUCUGAGAGGAGUGGCCCGGAGAUGGGUACUGAGACACGGACCCAGGCCCUAUGGGGCGCAGCAGGCGAGAAAACUUUGCAAUGUGCGAAAGCACGACAAGGUUAAUCCGAGUGGUUUCUGCUAAAGGAACCUUUUGAUAGUCCUAAAAACACUGUUGAAUAAGGGGUGGGCAAGUUCUGGUGUCAGCCGCCGCGGUAAAACCAGCACCUCAAGUGGUCAGGAUGAUUAUUGGGCCUAAAGCAUCCGUAGCCGGCUCUGUAAGUUUUCGGUUAAAUCUGUACGCUCAACGUACGGGCUGCCGGAAAUACUGCAGAGCUAGGGAGUGGGAGAGGUAGACGGUACUCGGGAGGAAGGGGUAAAAUCCUUUGAUCUCUCGAUGACCACCUGUGGCGAAGGCGGUCUACCAGAACACGUCCGACGGUGAGGGAUGAAAGCUGGGGGAGCAAACCGGAUUAGAUACCCGGGUAGUCCCAGCCGUAAACU
rnacentral:rRNA from 2 species